GUUAAGCAGGAGCUGGUAGGAAUGAAUGGAGGAACACUACCAAAUCAUCUAACAACAGCAGCACAUCUCACUGGCAGAAAUUCAGAUGUGGAAUUAUGCUUCAAAUGCUACUAAUGGACUAUGCAAAGGAGUGUGAGAUGGAAGAUGAUGUCGCAAGGGUGGCCGAGAAGCAGCUGGGCUGAGCUGUUAAAAGCACAGAGACCGGGGCCAGACUCCUCAGCCUGAAAUCCUGCUUCCACUAAGUACCAGCUGGGUAACUUCAGGGUCUGUCAAUUCAAGCUUUACAUUCCAAGUUCACUACAAGAAAAACAAAUGUACUAAAAGACAAAAA
rnacentral:lncRNA from 1 species